rnacentral:lncRNA from 1 species
GAGAAGCUCAUGAUUGGAGAAGCCCGGAUGGCAUUAUAGAAGUUUGGACGGUCGAAGGAGUUCAGAAAGACGCCACACAAGGUCAGAAGUCGGAAAAGCCCUGGAAGGGUCGGCCGUUUGUGAACUUCGGCUGGGGAUAUUUUAUACCCAACAAGACAGAUGGCGUCUGCAAUGUCAAUCAGAAAUGAUGGACCCAUUAUCAUUACCUUAAUAGAAGGCUAUGAUCUAGUUAUCACUAUAACUAGCUCAUUUUAUGGAUCUAAUAAUUUAGAAGAUUUGAU